AUGAAAAAUUCCAAAAGAUAAAAAAUUAACAAAUUAUGUAUUGUAGCACAAUGGCAUGAUAAAUACCACAAUGUUGAAAAACAAAUUGACGAUCACGAUGGAAAGAUUCGUGCGAUUUAACGAGUGCACUGGCUCCACGGCGAAAAGACCCCCAACCCCCGGCACAAUCUCCGUCAAUUUAUCUACCGCGGUGCAUUUAAUUCCCCAAUUACGGGAAACUUUCAUUGCACAUGAUAAUUGCGAUCCCGCUUCCUAAUUAAACCCCAUUAAUCUCUUAUUACGGAGUUGCCGUUGAUUCAUCCCCGUUUUAUAUCGCGUAAUAGAAGAAGAGGAAACGUAAUGAAAGAAAGAGGAGCGGGCGGAAAAAAAAAAGAGGCACAAAUUAAUAAAAGAAGCACGUUUUUAUCUGGUUCUCUUAAGCUGGCCGACAGCCGAGAGCCGACUGUAUUCGUUUUAAAAUCUCCAAACCGGAACAAUGGCCUGGCUGGAUGGAUAAUGAAAAAAACAACGGCAAAAGAGGGAGGAUAGGAGGAUGGACAGAAAGAAGAUGGCGGAGAAAAAGAAAAAGAAAAGGUUGGAAAAAAAACUGCCUAUGGUAACGUGACAGAGUUACGAUUAAUACAGUGAAGGCACACGACCAUACUUGGUCAAUUUUCUUCCUUUUCUUUUUUUCUUCAUUCCCUUUCUUCCCUUUUCUUCUCUUCUUUUCUUUCUUAUUAUCCCCUUCUAGCCUCGAUUAACUCGCGCGAACGAGUAGUCGUGUCCUUAUAUCGCGGCUCAAUCGCCGCGGAGGAGGCGGCAGCGCUUUUUAAAUAACUAUAAUGAGGGCAAUUAUCGUGUGCGCCGACAAGCAGAGUGUGACGAGUCGUUGUUACACAUUACAGCAUGGAGAAUCGCUCGAGCUAGAUGAAGGAAUGGUAUGAAGGGCUGAAAGGUGACAGAGGAUUGUAACGCAAUACGCAUUAAAGUGAGAGAUUUGAAGAAAAGAGAGAAAAAGAAAAGCUGAGAUAUCUGAGAGAUUAGAAACAGUGAAAACUAGAAUAUUUAUUUAAUAAAAUAGAAAGUAAUUGUUGAAUAGAUUAUUGAAUAAUAUCGAAUACGGAUAAAGAUGAUGCAAGAACAAGAGUGUCGAAAGAAGAAAAAUAUUAAGUAAGAUGGCGUUGCCAAGUAGUGCCAACACACGGACAGAAAGAAAAAUGGAAGGCUAACAUUCUAUCAACGACGAAGAAGAGUAUAAAAAAAAAAAAAAAGGAAAAAAGAAAAGAAUUAGAAAGAAUAGAAUAGACGGUUGAAUCGAAGAGGGAAGAGGAAGUGACAGUGGAGGAGAAGCGAAGAGGCGCAUCAGAAGAGAGAGGAGAGACAGGCAGCGCGUGGCAGCAGGCCUCUCCUCCUCCUCCAGUAACUAAUGCCCCGAUACGUGCAACCACCUCCGCCAGUCGAGGCCUUAACUACUUUCUUAUUCGCUCGUUUCAGGCCAGCCUUACGGGCCCAUGCAUAAUGCCACACAGCGCUCCUUACGCAUGCUGAACGCUGAACACGCUCCUUCCACCGCUUCUCCUCUCGCGCCAUCUUCCUCCACCUCCGCCUCCUCGUGCUGUUCGUCCACCUCCGCCUCCCCGGAACAUUGUACCCCGAGAGGAACUGCGGGUCAGAGACUGCGAGGCAUAUUCGACGCAGACUCGUGGCUCGUGCCUAGAUCCAUUGGCGUCUGACUCGGCUGAAUUCUGCUGGUUGAAAUAUUCUGUUGUUGUAGGACAAUGUACCUAUAAAGAAUCAUAUAUCAUAUAAAUAUAAUUAUAUUUUUAUUCAAUUCUUUAUAUUCAAAGAAGUAGAUUUUUAUUUGGAAAAUAAAAUUCUCUUACAAAUAUAUCUGUUUACUCCUGAUUGUUAUUUAUAUUAUAUUCAAAACUGCACAUAGUACACAAAUAUAAUCUGUAAUAAUAAUACUAUUAGUAUUGAACUAUUACUAUCAACAUAUACAAAAUUAAAAGAAGUUUUUAAUCUUUCCUUUUUCAUCAUUUUCAAAAUCAAAAUUUCUUCUCUAACAAAGAUUUCUUCCAACAGAGAACUGGAAAGAAACAUAAGAAUGAAGGAGUUCAUGCGAAGAAGAUUCGCGUAGAAGGCAAUUCUCCGGCUUUAGUCGGGCGACGCCGAUGCGCUAAUAUAACAAGAAACGUGGCGGCUGUUGCGCCGAGCGUACGGGAGCGAAGUAGCCUCGCUUAUGGUCCGGUGGUGCCCGAGGAGCAUAACAGCUCGCAGAGCAUAACGCCACGAGCCAUCAUAUCCUCCUUCCAGAAACCCUCUCCGAAGGUGUUCCACCUUCACCUCCUCGCCUACCCCUCGCCCACGUUCAAAUCGGUGCUCCCCCCGACGCCGCGAGAGAGCACGAGUCAUCCUGGCGAGUGUACGCGUCACGCGUGUCUGUCGCUGCGUGGGGAUACACGCUCUAGGAAGUGGAUGAGACGCAUGCAAGUCUGGCCACCUGGGACGAGGCUCUGAUCAAACGAGACAGAUGAAGAUUGACGAACUUUUAUGAAAGCUCUUGUAGACCAACAGGUAAUUUUUGGAGCAGAUUUUUAAAGAAUCUGAAAUUUGUUUUAAAAAAUUAAUAAAAGAGCCACUUUUUUAAUAGAAUUAAUUUAAAAAAAAGAAAACGAACUCUGUAUGGAAAAAAAUCAAAUUUCCCGUUCGCGAAAUAAAUUCGAACGAGGAAAGCGACAUAUCCCCGAACUGCACGCGAAUCGAAGGAAACAGGAAGAAGAGGAGAGAAAGAAGUGCAUGCACACACGUAUGCGAUGCUUAUGGUCGCGUGGUUGCAUGUGUACAGGGGGAAUGUUCGAGCGCGUGCACGUACAUACAUUACGUUUAUACACAGGUAUUGUCGGCUUCCGCGAACUAGAUCGGCCGAGCAGAUAUUAGAAGCGCGUCUGCCCCGUUGCCAUUGCGGCAAGUGCUGGUCAUUGUCCACCCGGCGGGCACAGGAAGUCGACGCCGACCAGCGAUGGUGCAGAGAGAAGAGGAAGAGAUUUUUCGGUAGGAUAAUCGCUGGAGAAACUACGACAAGUUUCAAGAUUCUUGGGGAUUGUUGGAACGUUAAUGUGCAAAGUUUUAUGGUUAUUCCGAGAAUUCGACUAAGAUAUUUAGGUAGACAAAGUUUCUCUGAGAAUUGUAAUGUAGGUUAAUUUUAGACUGCUGGGAUAAGUUUGGAUUGAGCAGAAAAAUAAGUGGAAUAAUGACUGUUUUAAAUAUAUUUAACUUUUAUAGAUUAUGAGAUUGAUGUAACAAAGAAAGAUAAUUAUAUAUUUAUGAUAAUUUUUGUUACAGAUAUCUGGAAAAUUAUGAAAAAAGUAAUAUUUAAA